ensembl:lncRNA
GUAGCUGGGUCCAGGGGCAGGCAGAAGGUCAUACACAGGAGGAGGCAGGUAGCUGGGUCCAGGGGCAGGCAGAAGGUCAUACACAGGAGGAAGCAGGUAGCUGGCUCCAGGGGCAGGCAGAAGGUCAUACACAGGAGGAGGUAGGUAGCUGGGUCCAGGGGAAGGCAGAAGGUCAUACACAGGAGGAAGCAGGUAGCUGGGUCCAGGGGCAGGCAGAAGGUCAUACACAGGAGGAAGCAGGUAGCUGGGUCCAGGGGCAGGCAGAAGGUCAUACACAGGAGGAAGCAGGUAGCUGGGUCCAGGGGCAGGCAGAAGGUCAUACACAGGAGGAAGCAGGUAGCUGGGUCCAGGGGCAGGCAGAAGGUCAUGCACAGGGGGUCCAAAAGGGCAAC